rnacentral:rRNA from 1 species
GGAUACCACUUGGAAACAGGUGCUAAUACCGGAUAACAACAAUAGCUGCAUGGCUAUUGCUUAAAAGGCGGCGAAAGCUGUCGCUAAAGGAUGGACCCGCGGUGCAUUAGCUAGUUGGUAAGGUAAUGGCUUACCAAGGCGACGAUGCAUAGCCGAGUUGAGAGACUGAUCGGCCACAUUGGGACUGAGACACGGCCCAAACUCCUACGGGAGGCAGCAGUAGGGAAUCUUCCACAAUGGGCGAAAGCCUGAUGGAGCAACGCCGCGUGAGUGAAGAAGGUUUUCGGAUCGUAAAGCUCUGUUGUUGGUGAAGAAGGAUAGAGGUAGUAACUGGCCCCUAUUUGACGGUAAUCAGCCAGAAAGUCACGGCUAACUACGUGCCAGCAGCCGCGGUAAUACGUAGGUGGCAAGCGUUGUCCGGAUUUAUUGGGCGUAAAGCGAGCGCAGGCGGAAAGAUAAGUCUGAUGUGAAAGCCCCCGGCUUAACCGAGGAAUUGCAUCGGAAACUGUGUUUCUUGAGUGCAGAAGAGGAGAGUGGAACUCCAUGUGUAGCGGUGGAAUGCGUAGAUAUAUGGAAGAACACCAGUGGCGAAGGCGGCUCUCUGGUCUGUAACUGACGCUGAGGCUCGAAAGCAUGGGUAGCGAACAGGAUUAGAUACCCUGGUAGUCCAUGCCGUAAACG